GUUGGUUGUACCAGAAGUAGGUAGUCUAACCGCAAGGAGGGCGCUUACCACGGUAUGGUCAAUGACUGGGGUGAAGUCGUAACAAGGUAGCCGUAGGUGAACCUGCAGAAGGAUCA
rnacentral:rRNA from 1 species